rnacentral:rRNA from 1 species
AAAUUGAAGAGUUUGAUCAUGGCUCAGAUUGAACGCUGGCGGCAGGCCUAACACAUGCAAGUCGAACGGUAACAGGAAACAGCUUGCUGUUUCGCUGACGAGUGGCGGACGGGUGAGUAAUGUCUGGGAAGCUGCCCGAUGGAGGGGGAUAACUACUGGAAACGGUAGCUAAUACCGCAUAACGUCGCAAGACCAAAGAGGGGGACCUUCGGGCCUCUUGCCAUCGGAUGUGCCCAGAUGGGAUUAGCUAGUAGGUGGGGUAACGGCUCACCUAGGCGACGAUCCCUAGCUGGUCUGAGAGGAUGACCAGCCACACUGGAACUGAGACACGGUCCAGACUCCUACGGGAGGCAGCAGUGGGGAAUAUUGCACAAUGGGCGCAAGCCUGAUGCAGCCAUGCCGCGUGUAUGAAGAAGGCCUUCGGGUUGUAAAGUACUUUCAGCGGGGAGGAAGGGAGUAAAGUUAAUACCUUUGCUCAUUGACGUUACCCGCAGAAGAAGCACCGGCUAACUCCGUGCCAGCAGCCGCGGUAAUACGGAGGGUGCAAGCGUUAAUCGGAAUUACUGGGCGUAAAGCGCACGCAGGCGGUUUGUUAAGUCAGAUGUGAAAUCCCCGGGCUCAACCUGGGAACUGCAUCUGAUACUGGCAAGCUUGAGUCUCGUAGAGGGGGGUAGAAUUCCAGGUGUAGCGGUGAAAUGCGUAGAGAUCUGGAGGAAUACCGGUGGCGAAGGCGGCCCCCUGGACGAAGACUGACGCUCAGGUGCGAAAGCGUGGGGAGCAAACAGGAUUAGAUACCCUGGUAGUCCACGCCGUAAACGAUGUCGACUUGGAGGUUGUGCCCUUGAGGCGUGGCUUCCGGAGCUAACGCGUUAAGUCGACCGCCUGGGGAGUACGGCCGCAAGGUUAAAACUCAAAUGAAUUGACGGGGGCCCGCACAAGCGGUGGAGCAUGUGGUUUAAUUCGAUGCAACGCGAAGAACCUUACCUGGUCUUGACAUCCACGGAAGUUUUCAGAGAUGAGAAUGUGCCUUCGGGAACCGUGAGACAGGUGCUGCAUGGCUGUCGUCAGCUCGUGUUGUGAAAUGUUGGGUUAAGUCCCGCAACGAGCGCAACCCUUAUCCUUUGUUGCCAGCGGUCCGGCCGGGAACUCAAAGGAGACUGCCAGUGAUAAACUGGAGGAAGGUGGGGAUGACGUCAAGUCAUCAUGGCCCUUACGACCAGGGCUACACACGUGCUACAAUGGCGCAUACAAAGAGAAGCGACCUCGCGAGAGCAAGCGGACCUCAUAAAGUGCGUCGUAGUCCGGAUUGGAGUCUGCAACUCGACUCCAUGAAGUCGGAAUCGCUAGUAAUCGUGGAUCAGAAUGCCACGGUGAAUACGUUCCCGGGCCUUGUACACACCGCCCGUCACACCAUGGGAGUGGGUUGCAAAAGAAGUAGGUAGCUUAACCUUCGGGAGGGCGCUUACCACUUUGUGAUUCAUGACUGGGGUGAAGUCGUAACAAGGUAACCGUAGGGGAACCUGCGGUUGGAUCACCUCCUUACCUUAAAGAAGC